CAGGGGGUAGUUUAUUAAAAAUUUUAAUUUUGGAGAUUAAAGAUAGGUGUUAUCAUCUUUCCCUGA
rnacentral:tRNA from 1 species